AUUGAACGCUGGCGGCAGGCUUAACACAUGCAAGUCGAGCGAGCGGCGGACGGGUGAGUAAUGUCUGGGAAACUGCCUGAUGGAGGGGGAUAACUACUGGUAACGGUAGCUAAUACCGCAUACCAUCAGAUGUGCCCAGAUGGGAUUAGCUAGUAGGUGGGGUAAAGGCUCACCUAGGCGACGAUCCCUAGCUGGUCUGAGAGGGUGACCGGCCACACUGGGACUGAGACACGGCCCAGACUCCUACGGGAGGCAGCAGUAGGGAAUCUUGGGCAAUGGGGGAAAGCCUGACCCAGCAACGCCGCGUGAGUGAAGAAGGCCUUCGGGUUGUAAAGUACUUUCGGCAGGGAGGCGUUACUCGCAGAAGAAGCACCGGCUAACUCCGUGCCAGCCGCCGCGGUAAUAC
rnacentral:rRNA from 1 species